AGGGAGCUGGUAAGUCGCCUACAGGAGCGAAAUGUUCAGGUUUUCCUAAUAUCUGGUGGCUUUAGGAGUAUUAUAGAGCAUGUUGCUUCAAAGCUCAAUAUCCCAGCAACCAAUGUAUUUGCCAGUAGGCUGAAAUUCUACCUUAAUGGUAAGGAUGCUUUCAUUGGAUUUGGAGGAAAUGUGAUCAGGCAACAAGUCAAGGAUAACGCCAAAUGGUAUAUCACUGAUUUUGUAGAGCUGCUGGGAGAACCGGAAGAAUAA
rnacentral:lncRNA from 1 species